GUUCCUCCCAAGGGAGUAGGUAGGGAGGGACCGCGGUGGCGGUAGUCCUGGCCAGCGAAGAGGAUUGGAAGGAAGUGCCCAAGCUUCUUCGGGAGUCACAGCCUGCUGAGAGCUGAUGGCGGGGGCAGGCUGCUCCGGACUCGUGGGUCAUUUUGAUAGAGCUGUCUGUUGGUAAUCCCCCAACAGCUGACAGGUUGUGGACGCUGGCGAUGAUCUGUUGAUAAUCAAUGAAUAAAGCUGUGGCUGUUGCCCUUACCCAUACAGAAGGUGUU